rnacentral:rRNA from 1 species
GAUGAACGCUGGCGGCGUGCCUAAUACAUGCAAGUCGAACGAAACUUCUUUAUCACCGAGUGCUUGCACUCACCGAUAAAGAGUUGAGUGGCGAACGGGUGAGUAACACGUGGGCAACCUGCCCAAAAGAGGGGGAUAACACUUGGAAACAGGUGCUAAUACCGCAUAACCAUAGUUACCGCAUGGUAACUAUGUAAAAGGUGGCUAUACUACCGCUUUUGGAUGGGCCCGCGGCGCAUUAGCUAGUUGGUAGGGUAAAGGCUUACCAAGGCAAUGAUGCGUAGCCGAAUUGAGAGGUUGAUCGGCCACAUUGGGACUGAGACACGGCCCAAACUCCUACGGGAGGCAGCAGUAGGGAAUCUUCCACAAUGGGCGAAAGCCUGAUGGAGCAACGCCGCGUGGGUGAAGAAGGACUUCGGAUCGUAAAACCCUGUUGUUAGAGAAGAAAGUGCGUGAGAGUAACUGUUCACGUUUCGACGGUAUCUAACCAGAAAGCCACGGCUAACUACGUG